rnacentral:misc_RNA from 1 species
AAUUCUCAACUGCUUCGGCUUUGCUCGAAGUGAAGUUGGAUUUUGGAGGUUUUGUCGGCGCGUUCGACUUCUCCCAAAGGCAUGGAGCUUUUUUCCCUUGGCGCAAAAAGUAUCUUUGACGUGAUAACCGUCUACGUCGCAGAGAAAGCGGAGAGUGCUCUCUUAGGGGAGUGCUUUUGACAGGGGCAUCGGCUGGCUUAUUGCACGAGGUUUAUUGGCCUCAUUUGACCA